GAUAGAUUAGACCACCUGCUUCUGUUGAUAGCCAGAGAUAGCUAAACUGUCCCGCGUUUGCAUGCUUACUGUUGACUGUACUUACUAUGUACCUCACCUACGGACCUUUACUAGCGUAUGCCUACUUAGCAAGACAUGCAGUGACAAGCAGUCAGACAGACUUGAAGCAUACUAACCAUACCCUAGCCUUACUGACUCUGAUGCCUAGUAACCUACCAACCAUGAGAGAACGCU